rnacentral:rRNA from 1 species
AUAGUACCUUACUACAUGGAUACCUGUGGUAAUUCUAGAGCUAAUACAUGCUAAAAACCCCGACUUCGGGAGGGGUGUAUUUAUUAGAUAAAAAACCAAUGCCCCUCGGGGCUCCUUGGUGAAUCAUAAUAACUUAACGAAUCGCAUGGCCUUGCGCCGGCGAUGGUUCAUUCAAAUUUCUGCCCUAUCAACUUUCGAUGGUAGGAUAGUGGCCUACCAUGGUGGCAACGGGUAACGGGGAAUUAGGGUUCGAUUCCGGAGAGGGAGCCUGAGAAACGGCUACCACAUCCAAGGAAGGCAGCAGGCGCGCAAAUUACCCAAUCCCGACACGGGGAGGUAGUGACAAUAAAUACUGAUACGGGGCUCUUUUGGGUCUCGUAAUUGGAAUGAGUACAAUCUAAAUCCCUUAACGAGGAACAAUUGGAGGGCAAGUCUGGUGCCAGCAGCCGCGGUAAUUCCAGCUCCAAUAGCGUAUAUUAAAGUUGUUGCAGUUAAAAAGCUCGUAGUUGAACCUUGGGUCUGGCUGGCCGGUCCGCCUCACCGCGAGUACUGGUCCGGCUGGACCUUUCCUUCUGGGGAAUCCCAUGGCCUUCACUGGCUGUGGGUGGAACCAGGACUUUUACUGUGAAAAAAUUAGAGUGUUCAAAGCAGGCCUUUGCUCGGAUACAUUAGCAUGAAAUAAUAGAAUAGGACGUGCGGUUCUAUUUUUGUUGGUUUCUAGGA